AUGGAGCCUAGAAAAUCGCCAAGAUCAAGAAAACAAAUCCAGUCUGAACUUUCUAGCGAUGCAUCCAGUGAUGAUGAUGUUUCUUCUAGAUCCAAAAGCACUACUAACAGCAAAAGAACUUCUCCAAAGAAGAUUAAGAGGGCCAAUAGGAAGGAUGUAGUUCAUAGCAUCAAUUGGAAAUGUAGCCCUCACAGACUUGCAGAACUUAUAAACAAAUUAACUCCAAGGCAACUACAAUGGGUUCAAGAAAUGGGAUUCCAGUCUGUUACUGAUAUGCCUCCACAUAAAUUACCUCGUCGGUUGUUGCUAUGGCUUGUCAAAAGGGUUGACUGUAAAAGCAAGUCUUUGGUAUUAAGAAACAGGAAAAUAUCUAUCUUGGAUGCCGUCGAGAAUAUUCUGAAGUUUCCAUCUGGGAAUUUAGAUGUUCCAAUGCCUCCUACUAGAAAUCCUAGAUAUGAGGCGUUUACAAAACUAGAGAAAUUCAGGUCAGAGAAAGCUGGAAGAGGACAAACUUUGGCGGAAGAAGAAAAAGAAUUGAUAACAUACAAGAAUCUAGAAGACAAAUAA
rnacentral:rRNA from 1 species